rnacentral:lncRNA from 1 species
AAACAAUGGGCAUGGAGUGAGAAGGCUGACUCAAUGCAAAAUGCUCCACCAUGGAAGUAAACCAAGAUGGGGAGCUUUUGGGUUUGGUUUUGAGGGAGAUUUGGGAGGUAAAGGCGAGCUGAGAUGCUGGGGUUGUGCGAGAUUGUGAUGUCUUUGGAGGAGACACCAGUUUCUGGGUCUUGAUCAGAUGGGGGCACAUGUGGAGACUCUAUGAGGCGUUCAACUUUUCCAUCUUGGUAGAUUCUGAUGAAAGGAAAGCCCUUGAAGGCUAAUUCUUUGGUGAUGGAAGCCAUUAGAGAAGAGAAGAUGUGCAGUUAACUAAGAAUUGUGAAACUUAAUGGAGGGAGCGUUGGCCUUUAUUCAUUAGAAAACAGAGAAAGAGAGGGGCCGUUUCUCUGACACUUUAGUACUUGUCAUGCAGCAGCCAAAGUGGCUAACACAUGUCUUGUUUUUCGUUGCAGUCAAACAAAGUAACCUCAAGGCUUUUUUGUAUUUUAUUUGUGGAGAUUUUAUUCACAAUCCAAAAGAUAUAUAGUGCAUUCCCUUUAUAUUAAUUUAACAAAUCAGUGGGUGAAAUAUGAAUAAUGGUUUUUUUUUAAGUGGACUUUGGUGUCAAAAAUAUUUAAUUAGAUAUUUUUGUCAAUGAGUAUAACUCAAUUGGUCAAGCUCCUUCACCUCCAUUUAUGUGGGCAGAGAUUCGAAACUUCCAGACACUCAAUGAAUAUUUGUGUAAAUCCCCCUCCCUUCUCGUACUAAAAAAAAAAAACUUGAAUUACAAAGCAAAUUCAUCCUCACCUGUUUAGAUUGUUUGCCACUCUUACUUUAACAAGCUAAAAAUAGAGUGAUUUGAUGCGUGAAGCAAACUAAUCAAAUUAGAAAACAAAGAAUUAAGGGAAAAAAAAAGGCCCCUCCAUCGACAUCAAGCGAACAGUUGCAGAAAAUUUCUUUUUGCAUUGGAAGUAACUCAGAGAGCUUAUCCAUAAGGAUAAUAUUGCUUGUUCUAUGAAACUGACGGUGACAGAUUCGGAAUAACAGCCGAAUAUAUUCUACUUAGUACAUUGAUUAGGUGCAUUAUUUUUAAUAUAAACAUAGGUUAGUAGAAUAUAUUCAAAAUACUGCACCCGGAUAAUUAGAAGGGCUAAAACAAAAAUCCAGCCUACCUAGCACCCAACUUCAUUGAAAAAACACCUUUAUUUAUUUAUUUAUUUUUUGAAGACCUUUCCUAUUGAAAGGGGCGAUAGCAUAUUAAACUCACACACACAAUACGGACCUUAUUUAAAGAUGUGAAUCUGAUUUUUAUUUUUUUUAUAACUAAUAAGAUGUAUUUAACCAAAGCAUGUACUUGGAAAGUAAACAGUUCUGGGUGGCUAUAUAUUUGCUGAUCAUGCACCUGCAUCAUAUUGAUUUUAUUUAGGCCUAUUCAUAUUAAGUGGUCAAUAAAAAUUAAUUUAAUAGCAUGAGAGUGUGCAUCUUGAUAUUAUUGCAUAGCCAGAGAAGUUUAUUAUUAUUUAUUUUUAUUGAGACUCAUGCUGCUAUCAUUACUUCAUUGUAGAGCUCAACAGACACAAAUCAUGAGGAAAUUUGGCAUGAUAUCUGUUGAUGCGAAAAAGUGGUUCGGCAUUUUAGGGCUUAAUUUAGUGAUGUAUGGGUCUUUGGAAUGCUUUGGGUCUUGGUAGAGUACUUAAUCUGCAAGAUGAGCGAACGCUCGGUAAGACCUAGGGCACCGGUGUGGUACUAGCCGAAAGCUCUCUGAUGUUUAAUUAAGUAUAGAUUUAGUAAAUAAUUUGGACAGAGCAGUGGCUAGUAUGCCGAAAGUUCAAGUUACCUCCAUCUUGGGACUUGUGCCCCUUUUUAUAAGCCUUGGGAGGUGUGCAUGUUGUGUAGAAUUUCGAUGUGGAACUGUUGACAUUCGUUGUGAGUGUUCCACGUGGCUAAAGGCUGAAUUUGCCCUAAAUUUGCCUUCGGCAGUCCUGGGUGCCGAGGGCUACCUUGCCGAUGCCUUCUUUUGUCCACACGUCUUGCUCUUAUUGGUCUGUUGACUUUGGUAUAAACAAUAUCAAACAAGAAAAGAAGCCAAGCGUUUGAUCAUUUUUCUUGACAUUCUCAGUCUCAUACUCACUCCACAAAUGAAAGCAAUGUUCUUCUUCCUUCCACUUCAAACAGCUCCACUUCUCCUUUCCACUCACUUUCUUUCCCUCACCAACUCAUAUUACCAAACCCAUUUUAUCCCUUAGCUCAUCUUUGCCAGCAACACAAGAACCCCACCCCACCCUAGUCAAUCUUGGUGCACCUUCACCCACUGGAUUCACCAUUGGAUUAUUGAUCCCUCCUAGAUCCCAUGGAUAAACAAUGCUCCAAAUUUUAUACCCUGGAGUAUUCAUGUUUGGUAGGCCUCACUGGACUGGACUGGACUGGGUUAAAUAACAUUUGAAACUCAUGUUUAGUAAGAGAGAGGACUAACUUAAAUGGGAUUGUAAAGUCCAACAGUUAAAAAAAUGCCUGACUUGCUCUUCCAAUUUAGUGAGGCUGAAACAUGCUUCGCAAAGUAGCAAGGUCGCUAAAUAGAACACGCGAGUCCUCCAACGCAAGUUGCAAAAAGCAGUAUAUGGUUUGAAACAGUUACCACGUGCAUGGUUGGACCAUUCACGUUGGCAAUGAGGAAUUAUGGGUUUAAGCAGAGCAAUUCAAAUCAUACUCUGUUCUUGAAACAUCAUAAAAGAAAGGUAACAAAUUUAAUAAUCUAUGUUGAUGAUAUGAUUAUUACUGGGAAUGAUGAACAGGAAAUAUCUCUGCUGCAAGACUAUUUAGCUACUGAAUUUGAGAUGAAGAAUCUAGGUGGACUCAAGUAUUUCUUGAGGAUUGAGGUGGCCUGAUCAAAGCAAGGCAUAUUUCUAUCUCUAAGGAAAUAUGUCUUGGACUUGUUGACAGACACAGAAAUACUAGAUUGCAAACCUAUAGACACUCCUAUUGUUCAUAAUCACCAUCUUGGAGAAUAUCUGGAUCAAGUUCCAACUAACAAGGAAGAAUACCAAAGGUUAGUGGGAAGUUUGAUCUAUUUGUCACAUACUAGACCAGAAAUCGCUUAUGCAGUGAGCGUAGUCAGUCAACUUAGGCAUUCUCCAAGUGAAAAUCACAUGAAUGCUGUUCUCCAAAUACUUAGAUAUUUGAAGUCUACACUUUGCAAAGGACUUAUGUUCUCAAAACAUGGUCAUAUGAAUAGUGAUGGUUACAUAGAUGCAAAUUGGGCGGGGUGUGUAACAAAUAGAAUCUACUUCUAGUUAUUUUACAUUCGUGGGAGGUAAUUUAGUGAAGUGGAGGAACAAGAAAUAGAAGGUAGUAGCUCCAUCUAGUGCAAACUCCUUUGGCUACGUAGGUUGCUUACUGAACUUAGGUGUCGACCUAUGUUUGCAAUGAAUCUCUUUUGUGACAACAAGGCUACAAUAGCUAUUGCACAUAAUUUAGUUCAACAUAAUCACAUUAAACAUGUUGACGUGGAUCGAUACUAUAUCAAAGAGAAGCUUGAAGCUAAAGUGAUUCAAUUUUCAUUCAUAAAGUCCAAGGAUCAAUUGACGAAUAUUUCUACAAAGGCAAUUUCCAGUAGAGCGUUCCACAACUCACUAGACUAGUUGGGCAUUGGCGAUAUCUAUGCACCAACUCGAGGGAGAGUGUUGGCGUGACUUAUGGACCCACAGUUACUUUCCUUACCCACCAAGGAUUCCUAUAUUAAGUGUAAUUGAUUUACUUUAAUUUAUAAUUUCCUACUGUAAAUAAAAUUAGGAGUUAUUACUUUCCUUGAACUAUAAAGAUUUAUUGUAUUAUAAAUACAACCUCCUACAAAGAGAAUAAUACAUAGAAAAUUCUCACAACCAAUAUUCUCUUAUACAUCUCAUAUUUUAGCACUUUUGCCAUCAACUCAUUUAUUUUAAUUUCUUCAUAAUGCUAGUGCGCUGCAGGUAAUGAAUUAGACCAUCAAGGAAAUUUGAUUAGUCAUUUUAAGCUUAGAUUGCAUGAUGGUGAUAGUUUUGAUGCUCACACUAAACACUGUCAAUAGAUUCCAAUUAUUCAAAUAUCAUAAAAGACAUUACAACCACUAAGUAGUACUUGAGGAGAAAAGAGAAAAUGGGUUUUACUUGAGGAAAAAGUCAGCCAGUUAUUUUUCUUUUUCUUUUUGUCAAAGAGAGAAAUGAGAUGGGCAGAGCUCAACAGUCACAAACGUGAGCAAACUGACAUGAUAAAUAAUACUAGACAAGAAAAGAAGCCAAGCGUUUGAUCAUUUUCUUAACAUUCUCCGUCUCAGUCUCACUAAAGAUAUGAAAGCAAUGGUCCUCUCCUUCCACUUCAAACAGCUCCACUUCUCCUUUCCACCCACUUUCCCUCACCAAAUCACAAUACCAAACACCUCGAUCCCUCAGCUGAUCCUUGCCUGCAACACACACAAGCAGCUUAGAGCACCCGAGUCCAGCCAGGCUCGGGGCACCCUCACCUGCUGGAUUCACCAUUGGAUUAUCAAUCCCUCCAGGAGCUGAUGGAUAAACAAAGUCCCAAACUUUAUACUCCAUAGUCUUCUCAAAGUCUUCACCUUUAGGCUCUGACCCAAUUGGCUUGGAACCCCAAAAGUAAGAGUGGGACAGAAAUGCACCCAAAAUUUUCACAGCACCAGAAAUGCUCUCAGCCCCUACCUUCAUAGCCAAGUUAUGUGCAAUAUUGCCACCUGCACUAUCACCACCAAUGUACAAUCUAUCAAAAUCUCCAUAGUUGAGUAACCAUGGUUCUUUGUUAUCAUCUAAUUCUUCGUUGUUUGCGUGAGAAGUGACCCAUUGAAGCGCAGCCCAGCAAUCUUCAUAAGCAAUAGGAAGUGGGUUCUCUGGGGCAAGUCUGUACUCAACAGAGACAGCUAUAACUUGGGCUUCUGAGACCAAGCGGUUGAGAUAACGGUGGUCAAGGAACGAGAAGGCAGAUUCAAUGCAAAAUGCUCCACCAUGGAAGUAAACCAAGAUGGGUAGCUUUUGGGUUUGGUUUUGAGGGACAUUUGGGAGGUAAAGUCGAGCAGAGAUGUUGGGGUUGUGUGAAAAAGUUAAGUCUUUAGAGGAGACUCUGGUUUGUGGGUCAUGAGGAGAAGGGGGCACAUAGGGAGAGCCCAGAAGGCGUUCCACUGUGCCAUCUUUGUAGAUUCUGAUGCGAGGAAG